GGGUGGCUGAGGGGGAACCGCAGCGUUCCGGGCUCUGCAGCGCUGCGGCCGUGCCGGUGCCUCCACGGCUCCGGGCUCGCUCCUCGGCCGCAGAGGAAGGAGCUGUGACGAGGAAGGACCUGGCUCUGCUCCGGCACGGGCUUUUCGGAAGGUGUCGCUUGCGAAAGCUGUCAGCGCUUCCCGUGGCGUGCACCGAGGAGAGGAGAAGGACUACGGUGCGAUGGGGCCUCCGGCGGAACAGCCCCAGGCUUCUGUGGGAGGGUGAGAGUCGCAGCACCCUCAAAGUGCACAGGCAACAGCCUCAGUCCUCACAGGGGAUCAGCCCUCAGCCCCCUCACACUUCACAGGGAUCAUCCCCUCAAUGCCCACAAACUGCACAGGGAACAGCCCCUCAGCCCCCUCAAACCUCGCAGGGGAUCAUCCCCUCAAUGCCCUUAAACCACACAGAAAAUAAGCUCCUCAACCCCAAAAAAACUCAUAGGGGAUCAGCCUGUCAAACCUUGCACGAUCAGCCCCUCAGCUCUCUCAAACCUCUCAGGGCACGGGGGUUAUCCUCAAAAAGUCCUCUAAGUCGCAGGGCUGCAGGCAUGGGGUGUCAGUAGGAGGUUCCUGUUCCAUUAAAAUGUCUUUUCACUGUCUGAAACAGAAACACGGGCUGAAUUGUAAAAGGAUCAAAACCACCCCUGCCCUUUGCUGUUCUCCAGCAUGUUUGCUUUUAGUAUUCAGCCCAGGACUGACACAGAAUGGGAGGAUUUCCCAAAUGGCUUUGUUACAACAUUAAGCCUGGUAACCUACCCUGGGUCACUCCCGAGCAGAAAAUAAGGAGUUUGAAAGAAAACACUGAUUUCUAAGGGCAGCUUGUUCCAAGGAUUGUUCCUGCACUGAAACAAAGCCUGUAAAAACACCAGUUGCGAGUCAUUCCUUAAGUUACUGUUUCCGCACGGAAUGAUCUUGCCACAUCGGAGCUGCAGAAAGGUCAAGCCAGAGUUGCUUUCUCGCUGAUCCCAACACUCAGUGCCUGUCAGUGUGUUCCAGAGGACUCCCAAGCCCAAACAUGACAGAUCGCUGCUGGACAUGUAGCUCUGACAACAUUUUGCCUUGCCACUUUUGUGGCUUGAUUGUGCCCAUGCAGCAAGGUCCCACACUUUUUACCUUUGCCAUGAGACUCCACAAUGCUUGAGCAGCAGUGUGCCAUGACCCUUUCCUGCCAUCCCUACAGCCACCCACAGUGUCUUUCCUUUUGAUAAAACUUCACCUUCCAAGAUGGAAAUUCAUGCCCUGCCUCUGGAUAACACCCUGCACAACAGGAUCUGAGCAUCUAGACACCCCACUGGGAGUUACACAAGCAAUGAAUCGUCAAACCCCAUUUUUUGUGCAGAUUAAUGUUCUCUAAGUUACUCCUGCCAUAAACUAUAAACAGCAGAAAAUGCAUUACUUUGCAUUCCAGCAUGUUGUGGGAGAUCAUAAAGGCACUUAAUAUAUAAUUUAAGCCAUUUAAGUGAGAUAGCACAACUGCUGUAAUUAGCAACAGUUCUCCAAAUCCCCAUAUGCCAGACAAAGGCUCACAUUCAGCAAUUCCAGGCUGGUAGGAGGGAAUCAGAACAUCACUGAAAUGAAAUCCAUGCUCUGCUUUUUUUUCCUCCUGCCAAUCUCAGCAGAGCCUACGUUUCACUACAGCUACUCCCCUGCACCACCGUACAAGAGACCCAAAGCAUAACAUAAAGACUGCCCUUUUUUGGGCUUAUUUUAAGAAUUACAGGCUACUCAAGGCUUUAAAAAAGAGAAAUGGAGCCACUUCUCUUGACAGCUGGAUUCUACAGGCUGAAAGGGAACUUCCUUGCUUUUUCCUUUGAAUAAAACCAAAAUACAACAAAAAACGAAACUUGAUUUUCUCUAGAAAAAUCCAUGAGCUGAAGUCAGCAUUAAGUGGGAAUUUAGAAGCACUCCAAGCAGCAGCCACCCUUAGUGCACACAGGGUCAGGCACAGGGCAGUGUGAUGGGAGGCAUGAGAGGAGAGAGGCAGGAUGAGCACGCAAAGGGCAGCGGUGACAGCACAGGGACGAGACCUGAAUGCUGCCAUGGGCCUGAACUUCACUACCUCAUGGAACCCCAGGACACAGCCCUGCCCAGAAGCCUCAUCCCACCAUGUGCUCCCUGGAAUUGCAGCCAGUUGGACACUCCUGUGCAAAGAACAUCGCUGGGAAUAGGCACAAAAAUCUUCUAAAGGAGCAGGGAAAGGAGAUACAGAACUGAGAGCCUCUUCCACCAAGGGGGGAUGUGAAAUUGGAGGUGCCAUGGCUCAGAGAGGGAAGAUGCUGUCCCCCUCCCCAUUCCCCAGGCAGCACCAACUUGGAAAUGUGUACCAGGUUCAUCAUUUUCCAGGCUUCUCUGAUUCAAGGGGAGAGGAAGUGACCAAGGCUGGUAUCAGCUAGAGAGUUCAUAUUUCAUCAUCCAAAAGAUUAACAAAAGAAUUCAAAUUAUUUUCAAUACAAUUAGAUAUCCAACUUGUUACAGAUUUGAUUUUAUAAGCAGCACCUAAGGGAUGGGCUCUCACAUAUCAUUAAUAAUGCCUAUUUUAAUUUGCAUAAACCUCUACAAACUUAUGAAACACAAUAAAAAGUAAAGCCUUUAACUAUUCUGUUUCUCACAGGCUGCAAGUUGAAGAAGUGUAGAGGAAGCUGAUAAUGCUCUUUCAGUUCCUGAGGACUUCAAGCAGCUAUAAAAGUCAUAGACAUUAGCAAACACCAACAAUCAGCUCACAAACAGCUGGCUGAGAAGCUGAAGACAAACAUCUACAGAACAGUUGAAGCAUAAAAUAGUGCAGGAACAUCUGAAAAUACAACUGAGAAGAAGCACCAGCACUAGAGGUUGGUCACUGGUACCUUUGGGCACUCUGGAAGGUUUGGCUGCCUGUGUCUCCCAGUCUGGGAACACUUGGACCACACCUGAUUUUGCCAGAGGUGGAUAAAAGAGAUGCAGAUGUGUUUAUGGUUUCCCCACACCACUGGUCACCAAUCACACUUGUGCUUAGACCACAUUAAUUGCAAACAAGUGGUUAAAUGAGUAACUCCCUACAGGUACCAGAAAGGAACUCCUCUGGCAGUUCAGAUGCCUCUAAUGAUGCCACACAGGAACAACUGGCCCAAAUUCUCUUUCAGAUCCCUUCCCCCGACACAAGAUUUGUUAACUGGAGCCAGUAGGCACCCAUGUACAGGGAGAAGAUCAUUUUCAUGAUCCUUAAGCACCAGGAAAGGAAUUUCCAGAUGGAACUAGCAAAGCCUCCACCCCUACAGUCCGAGCAGUUGCUGAGUAUCAUUAAUCAUUCCAUCAAAUGGAGCAUUCAACCCCUCUCCUGGUAAGAACAGGUUGCUGGAAACAUUCCUCAUUACAAUUCCUAUUUGGCAUUAGACUGCAAUACAUCUGACAACAUUGUUUGGGGUUGAUGUUUAACUAAACCACAUGUACAGGCAGUUGGUUUGAGUGCAAUGCAGGAUACCUGUACAUCUAUCUGUGUUUAUCAGUUCUCCUUCCUGUGACCUAUCAGUACAUAAAUAGCAUAUCAGAUGCCUGCAUAUAUUAUACACACCAGAUUCAUCAUUGCACGUGGUAAUCACGUUAAAUCUGCCCAAAGCAGCAAAGAACAACCAGCAGCAGACACAGAACAUCUUCACAACUGCUUCCUUUCUGGCUCCAUGCCUACUCUGCACUGCAAGAGCUGCUGCACCAGAGGAGUUGGUUGAUGUUUGCACUUGCACAGCUCCUGGAAGAUGAAGGCACUCAAAUAGAGAAAUUAAUAUUCACAGGAGAGCUGUCAGGGGAAAAGGAAGAGUUUUCCCUAAGGUGCACUGUUUCAGUACAAUGUGUUUGACUGGCACUUGGGCUCCUUUCCUUCACGGAGAGAAACAGGAGAGGCAUAAUCUGUUUGUACUCUUAUUUUCCCCAUCCAAUUAGAGCAUCCUUUCAAAGCAUUCCUGUUGUAGGUAGGCAGGAUAAUCUGAUAGAUUUUCAGAGAUAUGG